UACGUAGGGGGCAAGCGUUGUCCGGAAUCAUUGGGCGUAAAGCGCGUGUAGGCGGCCUUGUAAGUCUGUUCUGAAAGCCCGGGGCUCAACCCCGGGAGGCGGAUGGAUACUGCAAGGCUCGAGUACGGAAGAGGCGAGUGGAAUUCCCGGUGUAGCGGUGAAAUGCGUAGAUAUCGGGAAGAACACCAAAGGCGAAAGCGCUCUGCUGGGCCGAAACUGACACUGAGAGACGAAAGCUAGGGGAGCGAAUGGG
rnacentral:rRNA from 1 species